rnacentral:rRNA from 1 species
GUCUAUGGUCAUGCUACCCUGAACAAGCCCUAUCCCAUCUGAUCUCGGAAGCUAAGCAGGGUCGGGCUGGUUCGUACUUGGAUGGGAGACCACCUAGGAAGACCAGGUGCUGUAGGCG